AAUCGAAUGAACAAGCUUCCGUUGGUAGAGAUGCAACUACCUGAAAAUAUAUAAGGAGAAAUUCUGAGAAAUUCUCCUUAUACAUUUUCAGGUAGUUGCAUCUCUACCAACGGAAGCUUGUUCAUUUUAUU
rnacentral:miRNA from 1 species